ACCAAUAGGAUUUUGAGUUGGGAGUAAUGUACUGACUUGAACAACACAGUAGUGUGGUUGUACAACACUGGUCCAUGCACACAGUGCAGCUGUGAUGCAGCUCAACAGGGGUACUUCAGCCCCACCUGGAAGAAGAGAAACUGAAACAAAAUACUUGUUUUUUCUGCUC